rnacentral:lncRNA from 1 species
CACCAGCCCCUUUUUUCCCUUUCUUUUGGAGUACUGGAGAUUUAACCCAGGGGGACUCAACCAGACCUUUUUAUUUUUUAUUUUGAGACAGGAUCUUGCUAAGUUGCUUAGGGCCUUGCUAAGUUUCUGAGGCUGGUUUCGAAUUUAUGAUCAUCUUGCCUUAGUCUCCCAAGCCACUGGGAUUACAGUGCAGUUGCUUGCUUUGAGGUAGAUUGUUGCCCCCGCUUUUUUCUGCUUGUCUGUUUUUCACAGCCUCAUCUUCCCUCAGGGCCAUCAUUAUAUGGCAAGGGUCUGUUGUAGGGCCCCCUAAACUUUGCUGAAUAGCUAUCACAAUAGGAAAAAAAUGUAGCGAUAAAUUAUACCCUUGUCUCACUUCAGCUUGCGCACAUUUGCCAUUAUCUUGUCUCAUAUCUUAGGAUCAGAAACAGCAGCAGCACUUAUCCAUGGGCUUGUAUCAAUCACAGCAUUUCAGAACUUUUAGACUUCUCUCUUAUUCAGGGUUAAACCUGAAUAUCUAAGAAUCUAAGAGAGUGCGCAACACUUACCUACCAGGUAAGUGGCCUGCCGCUCACGCACCUAGCAGGAGGGGAGUGGCCUGUCACUCAGACUCAGUACUCCAUGCACCUGUCCCCACAUUACAGGUAUGUGCAAUUGAGCCUGGCUUGAUUAAGCCUUUAACGGUUGUAUUUUUUAGCAGCACUGUUGAAAUAUAAUUCAUAUAUCAUACAUAAUUCACAAAUUUAAAGUGUACUUCAUUAUUUUUUAGUGUAUUCACAGGACUAUACAACCACCACAGUAUUAAAUUUUAGAGCAUUUGUAUCACUUAAAAACCCCUGUGAUUUUGCGAUCCCAUUUCUGGGUAUAUAUCCAAAAGAAUUAAAAGGAAUAUCUGAAACAGGUAUUUGCACACCCAU